CCUACGGGAGGCAGCAGUGAGGAAUAUUGGUCAAUGGGCGGGAGCCUGAACCAGCCAAGCCGCGUGAGGGAAGAAGGUACAGCGUAUCGUAAACCUCUUUUGUCAGGGAACAAAGGCGGGGACUAGUCCCCGGAUGAGGGUACCUGAAGAAAAAGCAUCGGCUAACUCCGUGCCAGCAGCCGCGGUAAUACGGAGGAUGCGAGCUUUAUCCGGAUUUAUUUGGUUUAAAGGGUGCGUAGGCGGCCUGUUAAGUCAGCGGUAAAAGCCCGGGGCUCAACCCCGGCGAGCCGUUGAAACUGGCGGGCUGGAGUUGGAGAGAGGUACGCGGAAUGCGGGGUGUAGCGGUGAAAUGCUUAGAUAUCGCGCAGAACCCCGAUUGCGAAGGCAGCGUGCCGGCUCCACACUGACGCUGAGGCACGAAAGCGUGGGUAUCGAACAGGAUUAGAUACCCCAGUAGUC
rnacentral:rRNA from 1 species